GCAACUGGUCAUCUCUUCCCAAGCUGCAUUCAGUGGCAUUACGCUGGAGCUUGAAAUUGGCUGUGGUAGACUGGAAGAGUAAUGUCGUGUGGUCCCCUGUCCGUCUUCCUGGGCACACAUGUGCCUCCUGUUCAGAGGCUGUGGCUGGGACUGAUGCCCUGGGGAAUGGGGACAGCUGCCCUGGCACAAAUCAAUCGCCCUGCAGCUGAGUUGCUUGCUACCUGCUGCCACAUCUGCUGUGAUACCAUGAGGUGAUGAAAUCUUUGUUUUCUGAUGCGAAUGCUACCGAAAAUAAUGAUACUCCUCUCCCUGGGGUGAAUCUGUCAGACUCCUUGUCCCCGAAGAAAGGUGUUUGGAGCCUCCAAGAGCCAUGUGCCAGUGGCCAGGAAGGAGGGCACGGGAAAAGG